UUUUAUGUUGUUGUAUUUAAGAAUGAACCUACUCGAGUCUCGGGUGCUAAAGUGGUUGUCUCUUGGAAUCUCAGAAAAAUCAAAUUUGGGUUAAAACACUUGACUUGUGCAGAAUAAAGGGCAAGAUUACUUUCAAAUCAAUAUAUUGAGAAGUCCAUUCUCUUAUUCUGAGGAUUCUACUUGAUUACAGUUCAAGAUUGAAUGUUUCUUUGAACUGGUGAAUGAGGAGAGACAUAUUUGAAAGCUAUGAAUUCAUUUACUUAUGGAGUAAACUGGCCUACUGACCUGAAUCAUAUUGAUGGAAAGAAAGUGAAGGGACUUGAAGGGAUAUAAGUCAUUAUUGGAAUAAUAUAACCAACUUCUUGGUGAUUUAAUAAAGGUUUAUUUGAGAUGCUAAAUGUAAUAAGCCGGAAAAAUUUAUAGGAUAUUCCUUCAAUAAUCCUUUUUUCAAGGAUAAUCGUGGAAUAUUUCCUUGGGUCUGAGAUGGGCACUUUAUUCAUCUUUAGAGAGGUAAUUAAAUGUCUUUGAAUUUAUAUUUAUGUAGUACAUAAAAAAAUGAAAAAUAAAAGCUCUGAAUUACAUUUAGUGAUGACUUAGAUGACGAGACUGAGAUUUUUGGUGGAGUAGUCUAUAUAUUGACGUUCUGUCGAUUUAGAUGAUGCCAUCAAAAUCGCUUGUUUGAUUGACAAACGAGGCAUUUGUCUGAAAUUAA
rnacentral:lncRNA from 1 species